CCUGGUAGGGUGGGGAACUUACAGUUCCUUGUGAGGGACAAAAGUCCGGAAGGCGAGGUUUCUAGACCAAAGGAAGUGGAGGGGCCAGAAUGGGGCAGAAAGUGAAGCUGGAAAGAGAUACAGGAAGGAUGCUAGAAGAGACUUCCUUCUUUUCUUCCGCAAAUGUGUCGGGAACAUGUGGCGAAACUACACAGGAAAUUACUCCGGAACUGAAUCAUAGCAGGAGUUUCACCAGUGGAUUUUGUACCUUUGGGCUGUGGCAGCAGACCAAUUACACCACAGCACUUGUUCUGGAAGUGAGAAGUCCAAGAUCAAGGUUCAGCAGAGUUGGUUUCUUCUAACGGGCCUGAGGAAAGCAUCUG